rnacentral:tRNA from 1 species
GCCCCCGUAGUCCAAUGGCAGAGACAGAGGACUUAAAAUCCUCCCAGUGUGGGUUCGACCCCCACUCGGGGCACCA